rnacentral:rRNA from 1 species
UACGAAGGGUGCAAGCGUUACUCGGAAUUACUGGGCGUAAAGCGUGCGUAGGCGGUUUGUUAAGUCUGAUGUGAAAGCCCUGGGCUCAACCUGGGAAUGGCAUUGGAUACUGGCAACCUAGAAUGUGGUAGAGGGUGGCGGAAUUCCUGGUGUAGCAGUGAAAUGCGUAGAUAUCGGGAGGAACAUCCGUGGCGAAGGCGGCCACCUGGACCAACAUUGACGCUGAGGCACGAAAGCGUGGGGAGCAAACAGG